GUGGGUAUAGCUCAGUGGUAGAGCACAUAUUUAGCAUGCAUAAGGUCGGGGUUUGAAUCCCUAGUACCUCCA
rnacentral:tRNA from 1 species